CGGUCCCUAUCUGCCGUGGGCGCAGGAUACUUGAGAAGAGCUGUCCCUAGUACGAGAGGACCGGGAUGGACGCACCUCUGGUGUACCGGUUGUUCCGCCAGGAGCAUCGCCGGGUAGCUAAGUGCGGACAGGAUAACCGCUGAAAGCAUCUAAGUGGGAAGCCCCCUUCAAGACCAGGUAUCCCUAUCAGAUCCCUGGAA
rnacentral:rRNA from 1 species